rnacentral:rRNA from 1 species
AAUGAACGCUGGCGGCGUGCUUAACACAUGCAAGUCGAGCGAGAAAGCUCCUUCGGGAGUGAGUACAGCGGCGGACGAGUGAGUAACACGUGAGAACCUACCCUUUAGUGAAGAAUACCCACGAGAAAUUGUGGUUAAUACUGCAUACGUCCCUUCGGGGAGAAAGGUGGCUUUAUGCUACCGCUAAGGGAUGGGCUUGCGGACUAUCAGCUUGUUGGCGGGGUAAAGGCCCACCAAGGCUAUGACGGUUAACCGGCCUGAGAGGGUGUACGGUCACGUUGGAACUGAGAUACGGUCCAGACUCCUACGGGAGGCAGCAGUGAGGAAUAUUGCACAAUGGGCGAAAGCCUGAUGCAGCGACGCCGCGUGGAGGAUGACGGCUUUCGGGUUGUAAACUCCUGUUAAGUGGGAUAAAAUCCUUACCUCUAAUACAGGUAAGGGAUGAUAGUACCAUUAGAGAAAGCACCGGCUAACUUCGUGCCAGCAGCCGCGGUAAUACGAGGGGUGCAAGCGUUAUUCGGAUUUAUUGGGCGUAAAGGGUGCGUAGGUGGUAUGUCAAGUCUGUUGUUAAAUCUUUCGGCCUAACCGAAAGCCUGCAAUGGAAACUGGCACACUUGAGGAUGGAAGAGGGAAGUGGAAUUCUCGGANUAGCGGUAAAAAUGCGUGGAUCUCGAGAGGAACACCGAUGGCGAAGGCAGCUUCCCGGUCCAUAUCUGACACUGAGGCACGAAAGCGUNGGGAGCAAACAGGAUUAGAUACCCUGGUAGUCCACGCUGUAAACGAUGAUCACUGGACGUUGGUCUGGCUCUGCCGGAUCAGUGUCGAAGCUAACGCGUUAAGUGAUUCGCCUGGGAACUACGAUCGCAAGAUUAAAACUCAAAGGAAUUGACGGGGGUCCGCACAAGCGGUGGAACAUGUGGUUUAAUUCGUCACUACGCGAGGAACCUUACCUAGGCUUGACAUGUUUUUGACAGGUGCAGAAACGCAUCCUUCCAGGCUUCGGUCUGGACAAAUUCACAGGUGCUGCAUGGCUGUCGUCAGCUCGUGUCGUGAGAUGUUGGGUUAAGUCCUCUAACGAGCGCAACCCCUACUAUCAGUUGCCACUACUUAGCUGUAAGCACUCUGAUGGGACUGCCUGGGAAACCAGGAGGAAGGUGGGGAUGACGUCAAGUCAUCAUGGUCCUUAUGCCUAGGGCUACACACGUGUUACAAUGGCUAGUACAAAGGGCUGCAAACCUGCAAAGGUGAGCUAAUCCCAUAAAGCUAGUCUAAGUUCGGAUUGAGGUCUGCAACUCGACCUCAUGAAGUUGAAAUCGCUAGUAAUCGCAUAUCAGCUACGAUGCGGUGAAUACGUUCUCGGACCU